rnacentral:rRNA from 1 species
UACGAAGGGUGCUAGCGUUGCUCGGAAUCACUGGGCGUAAAGCGCACGUAGGCGGAUUGUUAAGUCAGGUGUGAAAUCCUGGAGCUCAACUCCAGAACUGCCUUUGAUACUGGCGAUCUCGAGUCCGGGAGAGGUGAGUGGAACUGCGAGUGUAGAGGUGAAAUUCGUAGAUAUUCGCAAGAACACCAGUGGCGAAGGCGGCUCACUGGCCCGGUACUGACGCUGAGGUGCGAAAGCGUGGGGAGCAAACAGG